CGACACUGUCCGUCUCAAGUCAAUCGGGCCUGUCAGAUCGUUGGUGCUAAUCAUUAAUCUCAAAAGUUCGAGCUGUUAGAAAUACGCAAUCAAUUCAUUUAAAGCGUACAGAUACAACGCCCACGGAUCUCGAUUGUGAUUCGAUCGAACUAACCUCACGCCACUUCGAAUAUGAUUCAGCCCACGUAGCCUCACGUCAUUUCGAAUAUGACUCGGCUCAUAUGGUCUCUCGUUACAGGGUAGGAUGCUGAUCCAUUUAAGCCAACAGGACCAGACGAAUUGUGCCUAGCUAUAUAUAGGUCAACCUGGUUUUUUUAACCUUUCUAUCUUCUGAAUUUUUAAAGUUCUUAUAGUUUCUAAUAUUAGUUUGGUAAGUGUAUAUAUAUAUAUAUAUAUAUAUAUAUAGAGAGAGAGAGAGAGAGAGAGAGCUUUUAUAUUUUUAAAAGUAUCAAGUUAUCAGUGCUUGUAGGUUUUUUGUCCUGAAUUAAGAAAUAUGCAAUUAGAAUGAUAGUAAUCUCCUAAGGUUGGGUGAGUGGUUGAUUGAAUAAUAUAAUCUAACGGGUAAAAAUGAUCAAAGGGAUAAAUCUAACGGCGAAAAACUUAUAUACACCAAAUGUUUGAUGCUUUUAAAAGCACCAUAGCCAAACUCUCUUUCUCUCUCUCUCUAUACAUACAAAGUUAUUUAUUCACUAAACA
rnacentral:lncRNA from 1 species